UGUAAUGUUGUCUUAUACAACCCACAGAGAUUAGUUCAUUGAUCAUCAUGAAGCAUUUUAGUGCUUCUAGUGCUGUUAUGCAUUCUGUCAGAGUUAGAUAGAUUUAAUAUUGAAUACUGGAUUCGGAGUCAUUGGCCUUUGAGCGUACUUUCGUCUACCAGUAAUUAGUUUACAGGAAGCUUAUAAAAGAAAACAGAUGGUGCAUCCAGAGAAGGCAGCAAUGCGUAAAUGAGUGCCACAGACCACAGGAGAGACUGAUUACUGGAGCACUGCUUGUCACAUGUUGUUUUGUCCUUGUGGAUGUGCUUUAAAAAAAAAAAAAUGCAACUUUCCAUUCUUUCCAGGAGGACAGAUCUUAUAAAUGUGGACUGUCAAACGCAUGUCCUCAAGGACACUUUGCUUUUAAAAUUCAGAUGAACCAUUUGUUUUGAAGACAAAGUCCUAAUGAGAAGUACAUUGAUUAAUGUUGCAGUUGGAAUGAACAUUGCACUGGUAGAUGGAUUCCCGCGCGUUCUUGCUGCCACAGACACCGGGAACCUUUGAAUUGGAGUACCGUAUAUUUACCUUAUUGUUUGUAUUCCUAUCAGUGUCAAAUCUCCCCCUCUAGUGGAACCCAGUGGUACUACAGCUGCCUGUUCCAGAUUUAAUGCAAACUGUCUUGUAAUUUCUUUAAUUUUUUUAUUGUUCAGGUUUUCC